rnacentral:misc_RNA from 1 species
GAUGAAGAACGUAGUGAAAUGCGAUACGUAAUGUGAAUUGCAGAAUUCAGUGAAUCAUCGAAUCUUUGAACGCAUAUUGCGCUCUCUGGUAUUCCGGAGAGCAUGCUUGUUUGAGUAUCAGUAAACACCUCAACUUCCAUAUCUUUUUUGAAAUGGGAGUUGGACUUGAGUGAUCCCAACGCUUUUCCUCACCGAAAAGUGGCGGGUUACUUGAAAUGCAGGUGCAGCUGGACUUUUCUCUGAGCUAUAAGCAUAUCUAUGUAGUCUGCCUAAAAAACAGAUUAUUACCUUUGCUGCAGCUAACAUAAAGGAGAUUAGUUCUUGUGCUGACUGAUGCAGGAUUCACAAAGACGGCUUCGGCCGACUUUGUAAACUCGAUCUCAAAUCAAGUAAGACUACCCGCUGAACUUAAGCAUAUCAAUAAGCGGAGGA